rnacentral:lncRNA from 1 species
AAAGGGUAAUUGAACCACACCUUGGGAAACACUAAAUCAGUGAGUCUCUUGAUCACGGGAAGAGAUUCGGGACUUGGGUAGAAUUAGGAUCAUAUCAUAGGCUAAUUCUUGUAACCCUUGUUUGGGAAUUUCUUGGUAAAGUCACUUAUUUGAUUUAGUGGAACGGAAGGGUUGCUCUCUCCCUAGAGUAAGUCAUUGCGGGACCGAACUGGGUAAACAAAUUAUCGUGUUC